rnacentral:rRNA from 1 species
UGAGUCUUCUGAGUAACCGAUUAAAUCAAUCAAAACUUUCAACAACGGAUCUCUUGGUUCUGGCAUCGAUGAAGAACGCAGCGAAAUGCGAUAAGUAAUGUGAAUUGCAGAAUUCAGUGAAUCAUCGAAUCUUUGAACGCACAUUGCGCCCGCCAGUAUUCUGGCGGGCAUGCCUGUUCGAGCGUCAUUACAUCCCUCAAGCCCCCGGGCUUGGUGUUGGGGAUCGGCGAGCCUCAGCGCCCGCCGUCCCCUAAAUUUAGUGGCGGUCACGCUGUAACUUCCUCUGCGUAGUAGCACACUUAGCACUGGGAAACAGCGCGGCCACGCCGUAAAACCCCCCAACUUUUGAACGUUUGACCUCGAAUCAGGUAGGACUACCCGCUGAACUUAAGCAUAUCAAUAAGCGGAGGAAC